rnacentral:misc_RNA from 1 species
GCAGAUAGACAGAUUACCUGAUACUUGUAAUUUACACAGUUGCAUAACAACUCAGCAUCUUCACUCACAAAAGCAACAAAAGGAAAAGAGGAAAUGCCAAUCGCAAUGUUCCAACAUGAACCAAUAAUGAAGGCAAUUGCACAACACAUCACACAAAAAUAGCGAGGAAAAUUUGGUAAGUUUGCUAUUGGUUGUGUUACAAAUAUUUUAUCAGUAGAUAUA